rnacentral:rRNA from 1 species
CAGCCGCCGCGGUAAUACGGAGGGUGCAAGCGUUGUCCGGAUUUAUUGGGUUUAAAGGGUGCGUAGGCGGCCCGGUAAGUCAGUGGUGAAAGCCUCCAGCUCAACUGGAGAACUGCCAUUGAUACUGCCGGGCUUGAGUACAGACGAGGUUGGCGGAAUUGAUUGUGUAGCGGUGAAAUGCAUAGAUACAAUCAAGAACUCCGAUUGCGUAGGCAGCUAACUAGGCUGUAACUGACGCUGAGGCACGAAAGCGUGGGGAGCGAACAGGAUUAGAUACCCUGGUAGUCCACGCCGUAAACGAUGAUUACUCGAUGUUGGCGAUAAACUGUCAGCGUCUUAGCGAAAGCGUUAAGUAAUCCACCUGGGGAGUACGCCCGCAAGGGUGAAACUCAAAUGAAUUGACGG